ACGCACGCUGGCGGCGUGCCUCAUACAUGCAAGUCGAACGCUUCUUUCCUCCCGAGUGCUUGCACUCAAUUGGAAAGAGGAGUGGCGGACGGGUGAGUAACACGUGGGUAACCUACCCAUCAGAGGGGGAUAACACUUGGAAACAGGUGCUAAUACCGCAUAACAGUUUAUGCCGCAUGGCAUAAGAGUGAAAGGCGCUUUCGGGUGUCGCUGAUGGAUGGACCCGCGGUGCAUUAGCUAGUUGGUGAGGUAACGGCUCACCAAGGCCACGAUGCAUAGCCGACCUGAGAGGGUGAUCGGCCACACUGGGACUGAGACACGGCCCAGACUCCUACGGGAGGCAGCAGUAGGGAAUCUUCGGCAAUGGACGAAAGUCUGACCGAGCAACGCCGCGUGAGUGAAGAAGGUUUUCGGAUCGUAAAACUCUGUUGUUAGAGAAGAACAAGGACGUUAGUAACUGAACGUCCCCUGACGGUAUCUAACCAGAAAGCCACGGCUAACUACGUG
rnacentral:rRNA from 1 species